UCUUGUCAUUGUGGUGUAAACCUGACAGUCUUCAUGAAAUAACAUGGUGAUGCCAGGAAUGCAUGUUAGAUGAAGGACUGUUACAUCUCCUGCACAUAUCUUAUUGGACAGCACAUGCAAAGAGACUGUCAACAAAACAACAACAGAGAAGGUUUGCUCUGACACCCCUGUCACAGCUGGACAACUUUGAGAGAACAGUCUUUGCCAAGCCUAAUUCUGAUUCAGCAGAAACAAUAAAUAAAUAAGACUGUCUUUAAGUUGCAGAAAACAGCGAUCAUUAUGCUGCUGUGACCCAUCAAACAACCAAAGGGCACUGGCCAAUUCAGUCCCAUUUCAUUGUCAUUUCUGGUAUGAUGGUGACUCUGGGCUACACCCAAGAAAGCCAGAGCAAUGCAUCCAGAAGUCCCAGGAUGACAUUAAGAAGACAGGGAUAUUACCUUGAUCUAAAAAACAAAGCAUUGGUAGUUGUAUAAUGGUAGGGGCAUACUGAACAUCAUCAUACAUGUACUACUGAGACAAUGUAUGCAAUCAUUAUAUCCAAGAUUUGUUCCUUCAUUUGCCAGAAAUAGCUUAUGUCUCCAAGUUUUUCAUC